rnacentral:lncRNA from 1 species
UCGGGGUCUGCAUAUGCUUUGUAGGAGACUUCUAAAGAUCCCCCGGUCUUUCAAGGGUAUGCCCAUGGUGGUUGUAGCUGCACCGACACUCUCUCCUGCAGGUGAAUAUUGGCUUAUGUGUCUUAGGCAUUAUUGCCAUGGCCAGCACCAAUUCCCUGAUGUGGACCUUCUUUAGCCGCGGGCUCAGUUUCUCUAUGUCUUCGGCCAUUGCGUCUGUCACAGUGACUUUUUCGAACAUACUUUGCUCGGUGAGUAGCCUGGUAGGUGGGCUUGUUCUUAGGGUCCUGGGUAAGUUGUCCUUGGGAAACCCCUGCUUUUCCAGGUACUAGAAAGGACAGGAAGUAAAACAGGUUGGACUGGCUCCAGGCAAGAGACAGUUAAACAUGGACAACUUAGGAAUGAAACUUGUGUCACUCUGGGAUAGCAUCAGCUAUCUGAAGUUCCUUGGCAAGAACUGGAACAUUAGCUAUGGGGUUUAAGGCUCUAGUCAAGGGGUUGGAGAUUUAGCUCAGUGGUAGAGCGCUUGCCUAGCAAGUGAAAGGCCCUGGGUUCGGUCCUCAGCUCCGGGAAAAAAAAAAAAAGGGGGUCUGGUCAAGGGAACCCAGUCUUGAACUGGAAGACAGCCUAGCUUGGGUUUAUGAUAACUGGGUACUAUGUCCUGGCCAUACCUGCUGGCCUCUUGAGCCUCAGUGCUCAAUUGGAGUAAACUCUGACUUCCACAGAGGAGACAGAAAUACAUGGAUUGAUCAUGGAGGUGGUUGCUGGAUGUGAAGCACCAGACUGUUUUCUACUCCCCCUCAG